rnacentral:rRNA from 1 species
UACAGAGACUGCAAGCGUCAUUCGGAAUCACUGGGCUUAAAGGGUGCGUAGGCGGUUCAUCAAGUCCGGUGUGAAAUCCCCCGGCUCAACCGGGGAAUGGCGCUGGAAACUAGUGGACUGGAGCGAGGCAGGGGUGUGUGGAACUUCCGGUGGAGCGGUGAAAUGUGUAGAUAUCGGAAGGAACGCCGGUGGCGAAAGCGGCACACUGGGCCUUGUCUGACGCUGAGGCACGAAAGCCAGGGGAGUGAACGGG